AUUGAACGCUGGCGGCAGGCCUCACACAUGCAAGUCGAGCGAGCGGCGGACGGGUGAGUAAUGUAUGGGACCUGCCCGAUAGAGGGGGAUAACUACUGGAAACGGUAGCUAAUACCGCAUACUCUCGGAUGCCCCAUAUGGGAUUAGAUAGUAGGUGAGGUAAUGGCUCACCUAGGCGACGAUCCCUAGCUGGUCUGAGAGGAUGAUCAGCCACACUGGGACUGAGACACGGUCCAGACUCCUACGGAGGCAGCAGUGGGGAAUAUUGCACAAUGGGCGCAAGCCUGAUGCAGCCAUGCCGCGUGUGUGAAGAAGGCCUUAGGGUUGUAAAGUACUUUCAGUCGGGAGGCGUUACCGACAGAAGAAGCACCGGCUAACUCCGUGCCAGCAGCCGCGGUAAUUC
rnacentral:rRNA from 1 species